AUUGAACGCUGGCGGCAGGCCUAACACAUGCAAGUCGAACGAGUGGCGGACGGGUGAGUAAUGUCUGGGAAACUGCCUGAUGGAGGGGGAUAACUACUGGAAACGGUAGCUAAUACCGCAUACCAUCGGAUGUGCCCAGAUGGGAGUAGCUAGUAGGUGGGGUAAAGGCUCACCUAGGCGACGAUCUCUAGCUGGUUUGAGAGGAUGACCAGGCAAACUGGAACGGAGACACGGUCCAGACUCCUACGGGAGGCAGCAGUGGGUAAUAUGGGACAAUGGGCGAAAGCCUGAUGCAGCAAGGCCGCGUGUAUGAAGAAGGACUUCGGGGUGUAAAGUACUGUCAGCGGGGAGGCGGUACCAGCAGAAGAAGCACCGGCUAACUCCGUGCCAGCAGCCGCGGUAAUAC
rnacentral:rRNA from 1 species